rnacentral:snoRNA from 1 species
AAGCCAAGCCAAUUAAUCUCCUUAUCUGAAUGUGUUUCUGCAGAAAUUUAGAAGUAGUUUCUAAGCAGCUGGCAAUAGUGAUACCAUUUUACAAGCCUUAAAGGACAACUGAUGCCAUUAUGGUCCCUUAAAUUGACUACAAUA